rnacentral:rRNA from 1 species
AGUGAACGCUGGCGGUAGGCCUAACACAUGCAAGUCGAACGGCAGCACAGUAAGAGCUUGCUCUUACGGGUGGCGAGUGGCGGACGGGUGAGGAAUACAUCGGAAUCUACUUUUUCGUGGGGGAUAACGUAGGGAAACUUACGCUAAUACCGCAUACGACCUACGGGUGAAAGCAGGGGAUCUUCGGACCUUGCGCGAUUGAAUGAGCCGAUGUCGGAUUAGCUAGUUGGCUGGGUAAAGGCCCACCAAGGCGACGAUCCGUAGCUGGUCUGAGAGGAUGAACAGCCACACUGGAACUGAGACACGGUCCAGACUCCUUCGGGAGGCAGCAGUGGGGAAUAUUGGAGAAUGGGCGCAAGCCUGAUCCAGCCAUCCCGCGUGGGUGAAGAAGGCCUUCGGGAUGUAAAGCCCUUUUGUUGGGAAAGAAAAGCAGGAGGUUAAUACCGCGCUGUUCUGACGGUACCCAAAGAAUAAGCACCGGCUAACUUCGUG